rnacentral:rRNA from 1 species
GACGAACGCUGGCGGCGUGCUUAACACAUGCAAGUCGAACGCUGAAGACCUGGCUUUUGUUGGGUUGGAUGAGUGGCGAACGGGUGAGUAACACGUGAGUAACCUGCCCUCUUCUUUGGGAUAACGCCCGGAAACGGGUGCUAAUACUGGAUAUUCACUGGCCUUCGCAUGGGGGUUGGUGGAAAGGUUUGUUCUGGUGGGGGAUGGGCUCGCGGCCUAUCAGCUUGUUGGUGGGGUGAUGGCCUACCAAGGCUUUGACGGGUAGCCGGCCUGAGAGGGUGACCGGUCACAUUGGAACUGAGAUACGGCCCAGACUCCUACGGGAGGCAGCAGUGGGGAAUAUUGCACAAUGGGCGAAAGCCUGAUGCAGCGACGCCGCGUGAGGGAUGGAGGCCUUCGGGUUGUAAACCUCUUUCGCUCAUGGUCAAGCCGCAACUGUGGGUUGUGGUGAGGGUAGUGGGUAAAGAAGCGCCGGCUAACUACGUG